UUCCGGUUGAUCCUGCCGGAGGCUACCGCUAUUGGAGUUCGAUUAAGCCAUGCGAGUCGAGAGUCUUAGGGACUCGGCGUACCGCUCAGUAACACGUGGGUAACCUGCCCUAUGCUGGGGAAUAACCUCGGGAAACUGAGAAUAAUACCCCAUAGUUCACCACGCCUGGAACGGUGGGUGGAUGAAAGCUCCGGCGGCAUAGGAUGGGCCUGCGACGUAUCAGGUUGUAGGGGGUGUAACGUACCCUCUAGCCAUCAACGCGUACGGGUGUUGGGAGACAUAGCCCGGAGAUGGAUUCUGAGACACGAAUCCAGACCCUACGGGGUGCAGCAGGCGCGAAAACUUGGCAAUGCGAGCAAUCGUGACCAGGGAACUCCAAGUGGCUGGGGUAAUACCCAGUUUUUUCUUGACUCUUCAAAGGUCUUGGAAUAAGGGGUGGGUAAGGACGGUGCCAGCCGCCGCGGUAAUACCGGCGCCUCAAGUGGUAGUCGCUUUUAUUGGGCCUAAAACGUCCGUAGCCGGUCUGGUGCAUUCGUGGGUAAAUCAACCCGCUCAACGGGU
rnacentral:rRNA from 1 species